UUAGCAUGAAAGCUGAAAAGGGAAGUUGGUGAAAUUCCAACGCGGUCCCGCCACUGUAAAUGGGAGUCUUCUACUUAAACCACUGUGUUUUUGAUGCAUGGGAAGGAGUAGGAUACGAUGAACAUGAGCCAGGAGACCUGCCGAGUCC
rnacentral:ncRNA from 1 species